AGGUCUGUAAUCAUUCUCAGAGCUUAGCAAGGGAAAGGCAGAAACCACCAGGAGACUUGAAGCUUUGGCAUUCUGGCCCUGAGGGAAGGUGUACCCAGAGAGGGUGGAGAAGGAGCCUGACAGAGGUGAAGUAGGAAGCAGCCUAGGGCAAGAGCAACAAGAUUUGGAACAGUGUAGACCUUAGCUGCUGGCUGGAACCCAGUGUAGUGAGUAGGUCCAGGUUUCUCUACCAGCCAUUGGGAAGUGGCACAAUAUGGGCAAUGGAACAGAAAACUGCCUGAGACAGAUCAUCCAGGGGACACUUUCAUACCCCAGAAGGAGGUGACAUAGCUGGAGGGUUACAAACAGGGAGUACCCUGAUUAUGGAAAGAGACAUGCUUUGGGAACUCAUGACUACACAUUCAAUUUGCCUGCAAUUCCAGAAACCUUUGAUGGCAUUAUUGGGUUUUGGACUGGGACUUGGAAGAUCUGAAUUCUCUUUCUAGCUCUUCAACUGACUACUAUGAAAUCUUAGGUAUGCCAUCAGAUCCAGGAGCCCUGCAGUUCUUCAUGGCACUGAUUGCAGCAUUGACUUCAUCUAGUGCCUCGUUUGUGAUGUUGGUCGGUAUGGGAAAAAGAUCACUGAAAUGCUGUCGCCACCUCUGAAGGAUUUCUCCUUUGUCAGUGACUAUUGUUAGGCUGUCCACACUCUUCAAAGGCACUGUAGUGGUAUGUGUAGAACCAUAUACAACUUUCAAUGCAGCAUAGAAGUCUUAGGUCUCAUGACAGUCAUCAUAGCCCUGGAUGUCAUCUACUUUCGCAUUCCACCAUUGAUUCUGCAUGUCUCCUGUAUGUUAUAACUGUGCCUACAAGGACAUGGAAUACAAGAAUUUGCCAGUGCAUCUCAUGUAUUUUCAGAUACCUGCCCUCAACACAACACUCUUCUCCCCAAAGCAUUAAACACGGUAUUUUAAAGGGAAGACUGUACCAUGAAUAUUCAUGCCAUUAUAACUUUUAAAAUAUUAUUAUACAUCUCUUCCCUAAUAUCUAUUGUCUUUUUUGCUGCUUUGACCACCACUGUGCAUUGUGAGAUGUUCUCAUUGAGCUUUCCUGAGUGCUUAUAGUUACUUUAUAACCCAUCAAUAUAGACAAGUAAUUCAAAUUGUUCCUUCCAGUUAUAAGGGAGCUUCCAGAGGGAUAGUUUGGGAAUUUUUCAGAUCAGAGUGGGAUUAUCUGAUAUUAAAGUACCACGUUGUCAGCAGGUGUUGAAUAUUUUCAUACCUGUCAUUGGCCUUCCUAGAGCUGGUGCAGACUUACAUUUUGUUAUUGUAAUUACUUAGAUUGACAUGUUGCUAUUAUAAUUUAUCAAGGUCAUGCAGUCUCUAUAAGAUCUGUGGAAACUGUUGCUAGAUUGCUGUGACUUCAUUAAAGCUCCACCGAGGGAAACCAAAAUAGAGUCUGUUACACUGCUGACUGAUCUAUAAGUAAUUUUUAAAAGCAUUUGUGAAAAUAAGCAUUAUUUAAGCCACUAUUAUAUUCAAAUCCAACUAUCAGGAAUGAUAAUGGAAAUUCCAACAUAAUCAAUGUGGUGCUACCUAUGCCUCUGUUAAACUCAUACAGAAAAGAAUGCAUGCAUGGAAAAAUACUCAUGGUGAUAUGCAGAAAGAGCAUUUACAGCAUGUCCACUCUUAAAUGACUACAUGUUUGAACAUGCACAAUGGUGUUUUCAUAGUCAGAAAAAACUGUAAUGGUGCCUUCUGGUAUUUGGUUCCAGAUAGGGCAUAUAUUAAUAUUUUUAUCUGCUUUAAACUGUAUAUGGCAAUUGGGCUACUAGAAAUGAUGAGGGGGAAAAUUGAACCUGUGAAGGUUGACCCUGUAUCUCAAAUUUAGGGUAUGUGAACACAGCUAAAGCUGUGGGUAUAGGCUAGCCUACCUGAGGACUUAAAUACAGCUAGUGUGGGUAAUAGAGCAGUGAAGACAGCUCAGUCUAGGCUUCCGCACAGUUAGUACAAGCCCAGUGCAGACGCUAGGUACAUACUUGGCUCAUUAGCUGGCACUGACCCUAUAUCUCAGCAGAGGGCAAGCAGGUUCUCCUCAACUGAUUGAAGAAGGAUUUCCUGGCUGAUAGCUUGGACAUAAACUUGCUAAGGAGGAGAGAUGGUGAGGGCAGGAAAUCCCCCAUCCCAUCUCAGUCAGGGGAAAAGGGUUGAAGAGACUUUUUUGUGUUACUUGUGUGACAAAUAACAAAUAUGUUGUCUUUCUGGAAACCCAUUCUUGACCCCCUCUCUUUCUUUCUCUCUCUCUCUCAGUGUAGCAGAAGUUGAAUCAGCCUUUACUAAUCUCUCAUUUAAAAGGCUGGUGUUAUAUUAACCUGAUGGUUAUAUAAUACAAAGUCAAAGAGAGAUUUAAAAAAAAACUGAAAGAGGAAACUGGAUAAAGAAAUAAAGCAUAUUCAGUUAUCCUCCAUUAAUACACAACACAGGGAUAUGAAACUCGUAUUGCAAGUUUAGUUGAUAAAUGAAAGAUCAGAACCAGCAGGGUAUGAACAAAAUAGGUUCUGAGUAACUGUGGAACAGAAGAAUUCCAGGAACUGCAAGAGUGACAAGGAUAAUGAUUAAGCAAGGAAUUUAUCUUGCCAAUAUAUUCAAAACAGACAGAGAUGCCUAUGCUGAUAUAAAUCUUGCUUAAAGAACUAUUUUUAAUGGCAAGAUAUGAUAAGUGCUUCUGCUGUUACAGUUGUAUGUACAAUCUUAGAGCAAUGGCAGCUAGGAUGUGUGUUCAAUAAAUUGCAGAGAUUCACACCUCCCUUGGACUAUUACAUUAAUUUCUACCUAGAAGACUUAAGCAACUUGAAG